rnacentral:rRNA from 1 species
AUGAUCAUCAUUAUAGAGCAUUGCCCCAUGAAAAAAAGAAAAAAAAGAAAAAAAAGGAAAGGCCAAAGAAGCCUAAAUAAAAAGGGGGUCCAAAGAAGCCCACCAAAAAGAAAAAAAGGAAAAAAAAAGAAAAAAAAGAAAAAGAAAAGGGGCAAUGUUACUAUCCUUUUUCCACACUUGUGCUUCAAAGUAGCACCAUGUUCUUCAUAUAAAUUGUCUCCUAUGUUAUCACUUUCAUAUACUAGUGGGAAUUUUCAUUAUAGAACUUGGCUUGUAUAUUCCAACGACGGGCUUCCUCAAAUGCCCUAG